UUAAAACAGCCUGUGGGUUGUUCCCACCCACAGGGCCCACUGGGCGUCAGCACACUGGUAUUGCGGUACCCUUGUGCGCCUGUUUUAUCU
rfam:Echovirus 9 capsid protein mRNA, VP4 and VP2 regions, partial cds.